AUUGAACGCUGGCGGCAGGCCUAACACAUGCAAGUCGAACGAGUGGCGGCCGUGUGUGUCAUGUCUGUGAAUCUGCCUGGUAGUGGGGGAUAACGUCCGGACACGGGCGCUAAUACCGCAUACUAUCAGAUGAGCCUAGGUCGGAUUAGCUAGUUGGUGGGGUAACGGCCUACCAAGGCGACGAUCCGUAACUGGUCUGCGAGGAUGACCAGUCAAACUGGAGCUGAGACACGGUCCAGACUACUACGGGAGGCAGCAGUGGGGAAUAUUGCACAAUGGGCGCAAGCCUGAUGCAGCCAGGCCGCGUGUGUGAAGAAGGCCUUCGGGUUGUAAAGCACUUUCAGCGGGGAGGCGUUACCCGCAGAAGAAGCACCGGCUAACUCCGUGCCAGCAGCCGCGGUAAUUC
rnacentral:rRNA from 1 species